ensembl:misc_RNA 7SK 7SK RNA
GGAUGUGAGGGCGAUCUGGCUGUGACAUCUGUCACCCCAUUGAUCUUCAGGGUUGAUUUGGCUGAACUGGCUGGCUAGGCGGGUAUCCCUUUCUCCCUCACUGCUCCACGCGCGUCCCUGCUGAAGCUGGGUGCUUAGUCAAAGAGGAUAGCCUUCCCCGAAUAGAGAUUGACUGGUCUUUGGUAGAGGGUAUAUGAGUAGCUGUGCUUCCCUGCUAGAACCGCCAAACAAGCUUUCAAGAUUUUGUACCCUAUACAUUGACAAUCAAACCGCAUUCCACAAAAAUGGGGCAGUCCAUAUAUUCUGCAUCAAAAUGGGCUAAUUCUUUGUUU